rnacentral:rRNA from 1 species
GGGUUGUGAGGUUAAGCGACUAAGCGUACACGGUGGAUGCCCUGGCAGUCAGAGGCGAUGAAGGACGUGCUAAUCUGCGAUAAGCGUCGGUGAGGUGAUAUGAACCGUUAUAACCGGCGAUUUCCGAAUGGGGAAACCCAGUGUGUUUCGACACACUAUCAUUAACUGAAUCCAUAGGUUAAUGAGGCGAACCGGGGGAACUGAAACAUCUAAGUACCCCGAGGAAAAGAAAUCAACCGAGAUUCCCCCAGUAGCGGCGAGCGAACGGGGAGGAGCCCAGAGCCUGAAUCAGUGUGUGUGUUAGUGGAAGCGUCUGGAAAGGCGCGCGAUACAGGGUGACAGCCCCGUACACAAAAAUGCACAUACUGUGAGCUCGAUGAGUAGGGCGGGACACGUGGUAUCCUGUCUGAAUAUGGGGGGACCAUCCUCCAAGGCUAAAUACUCCUGACUGACCGAUAGUGAACCAGUACCGUGAGGGAAAGGCGAAAAGAACCCCGGCGAGGGGAGUGAAAAAGAACCUGAAACCGUGUACGUACAAGCAGUGGGAGCCUCUUAAUGGGGUGACUGCGUACCUUUUGUAUAAUGGGUCAGCGACUUAUAUUCUGUAGCAAGGUUAACCGAAUAGGGGAGCCGAAGGGAAACCGAGUCUUAACUGGGCGUUAAGUUGCAGGGUAUAGACCCGAAACCCGGUGAU